rnacentral:lncRNA from 1 species
UCUCGAUGAUAUUCUCUACAUCUGGGCUGGAGGAAUACCAGGAGGAAUACCAGGAGGAAUACCAGGAGGAAUACCAGGAGGAAUACCAGGAGGAAUACCAGGAGGAAUACCAAGAGGAAUACCAAGAGGAAUACCAAGAGGAAUACCAAGAGGAAUACCAAGAGGAAUACCAAGAGGAAUCCCAAGAGGAAUCCCAAGAGGAAUCCCAAGAGGAAUCCCAAGAGGGAGGCCAAGGAGUGGGAAGAGAACAACCUGAACCUCAACCUAGGUUGGGAGUGAUUAACCGCUACGUGGGUAGCCUGCUCUUUGCCUACUACCCAACAGGAGAGGAGGGGUCCAAGGGCGGCUGCCGAAGCAAGCUUCAGCUGGCUCGACAGGUUCUCAAACCUCGGGUGGCUCAUCAGGCUUCCAUUCUUCUGCUGGCUCGUCGGGCUCCGGCGCCUCUGCCAGCUGAUGGGGUCAAAUUGGGGUCAUGA